GACGUUUCCGCCACGUUUUGUUGUUACACGUGGUCGGGGUGUGACAGCCUACUUAUGUAGCAGUCGCUAUCUCAGAGACUGUUGGGAAGGUUUGUUUAUCUAUUUCCUUGAAACUAUUGAUUCAUUUCCUUAACUUCGUUUUGUAGGUGGUAACAUAUUCUAUUCAAACUGAUUUUAACCCAUUUGGGUAAAUUCAUUGAUAAGGUGGUAACAUAUUAUAUUCAAACUGAUAGUGUGGAAUCUCAAAAUGUUUCGACUUCUGGACCAGAUAUGAAUAGGUUAUCAAGCACAUCUUCACUUCCUUCAGGUGAUGAUGAUCUGCGAAACGAUAUACAGUCAAUGAAAGUUCAACGAGCUCGUACUCCGCCCAUUGAUGCAGUUGCUCCUUAUGACAAAGUCAAGUUGAGGAAGGUCCCCGAAUGAGCAACGCCUCUCUUCCCAAAGGAAGAGGAAAGACACACUUUUCUUGAACAGAUCCGGGCCAAGUCCUCCAACUUGAAGCCAACUAUCAAAAGCAGGCCCAUUGUUAUUCGGGGCCCCAUGACGAACUUGAGGGUAGCUGCCAUUUUAGAAAAAGCAAAUGCAAUUCGUCAGGCAUUUGAUGGAAGUGAUGAUGAUGAAGAUGACAAUGAUAGUUGGAGCGACUCAUGAGAACAUAUAAUUGAUGCUAUAUCAUCAUAUCUUAUCUUGUGUAAAUGUUUGUCCUUUUCAUCUUGUAUACCUGUUUGUCCUUU